UACAGAGGUCUCAAGCGUUGUUCGGAAUCACUGGGCGUAAAGGGUGCGUAGGCGGCGCAGCAAGUCAGAUGUGAAAUCCGGAGGCUCAACCUCCGAACUGCAUCCGAAACUGCUGUGCUCGAGAUCUGUAGAGGGACUUGGAAUUCUCGGUGUGGCAGUGAAAUGCGUAGAUAUCGAGAAGAACGCUCGUGGCGAAGGCGAAGUCCUGGGCAGAUUCUGACGCUGAGGCACGAAGGCCAGGGGAGCAAACGGG
rnacentral:rRNA from 1 species